rnacentral:rRNA from 1 species
GACGUAGGAGGCGAGCGUUAUCCGGAUUCACUGGGCGUAAAGCGCAUGUAGGCGGUUGCACAAGUCCGUUGUUAAAGCCCCUGGCUCAACUGGGGGAGGUCAAUGGAGACUGUGCGACUUGAGGGCAAUAGAGGCACGUGGAACUCCCGGUGUAGCGGUGGAAUGCGUAGAGAUCGGGAAGAACACCAGUGGCGAAGGCGCUCUGCUAGGCCGCAACUGACACUGAGGGACGAAAGCUAGGGGAGCGAAUGGG